AAAGCUUAUCGCGACGACAAGCUAUAAAAGCCUAGGAAGUCUGACCGGAAUUACAACACUCCCCCGCGGACAGACUUCCGUACAACAAAUAACUAGGGUUAGCUUCUUCGUUUGUGGCGGAAACCACUACGCGAGGGACUGUUCAAUGAAGGUCAGCGCUUCUGGUCCCUCAGGCUCGGGUCGCUCGCACGGUGGGUCAGAGUUGCGGUGUGAUUGGUGCGGGAAGACGGGCCAUCUGUCAGAAAAGUGUUAUUGUAAGCGGCAGGGUUUGCCUAGGAGUGCCGAACGGAAACUGGAGGUCGUUGCGUUGACACUCAUGGCUCGAGAACAGCAAUUCGUUCCCCAGCAGACGAGAGAUGAGGAGAGUCUCGACUACUACGUUCGUAAUCCGCCUAGGAGCGCGUCCGUAGCUUUGGGGCGGGCACCCUUUAUUGCGAGGAUUCGAAGUAUAGUUUCGCAGUAUCCCAAGAACCCGUGGUGGUUGGAUUCCGGUAGCAAAUACCACGUUACGGGCGACCGGAGUAUCCUCCAUGACUACUGCCGGAUUGGCCCGGAUUUGUCGAUUACGAUCGAGGUUGGUAACGGGAACGUGCUGCAGGCUGAGGGUUACCCGUUGUCCAUUGUCAUCGUUGCUAUCCCAUCGACAGCCCACUAGAAAGGGCAUGGAGCACCUACAAGGCAGUUCUAGUGAACCGUUACAUCGACUGAACAGGUUAAGGCCCCAAUCCCUGGUGUUCUCACUUUGGCUUUGACGACUGGUGGGACUUCUUGCUGCCAUUGCCCUCCUCUAACACCCGUUCAGCACCACUGCUCGAGGGACCAGUCACUGCUGCCGCUGCCAUGGCAGCGUCUGGCCGCGGCGUGGGCGCGGUCGUGGGUGCAGGCGCAGGUGGGGACGCGGUCGUGGGUGCAGGUGGGGCUGUGGUUUUUUUUACUUCGGUGUCAAAUGGCGGCCCCGGCUGUCCACAUGUCGCCACUACCACCCAGCGAAAACCACGGAGCAAGGCACACUCCCUCGCAUGCGCGUGCUCUGCUGUCGCAGAGCUCAAUGCGAAGCCCCUGUUGGUCGGUAGCUGCACGUCGCCUGCCCAGGGCAGAGGGCCGCUGUGCACGCUGUGGUGAAGAGAUGGCAAGACGUGCCCUGGUAUCCGUUCCGUGACUAACAGUUGCGCCAGUAGCAAUCGGACGCGUCCCAUAUCCACAGCCCCCCCUUUCCCUGCCUUGCUGGGAUUGAAAAGCUCCGCCAUGCUCAUACUACGGGGAAGUUCCGACAGCCGCACUGUGAAGUCCUCCGGCUUGGAACUUCUGGUAUGACACGCCCUGUAUCGUAAGCUGCUGCACGCCGUCCGGUGUCUUGUAGCCGAGGGCCGCUUCCAGCCAGGGCGCAGCGCUGGCCAUCUGCUCAGCGGCACAGGCCGCCCCCACGUCGUUGAGCUUGAGCGCGUCAAACACUGCCGGCCCCGCGCCAAGCUGCGCGCCAGCUGUGAUCGGCUGCCCGGGAUGGCCUCUCGUCCCCAUUUGCACGUCUCGGAAACUCUGCGUCGCGUCCGAUGGUUCCGUCAUCG
rnacentral:lncRNA from 1 species